CCAGGUCCUGCAGGAGCAGUCGGCUUCCUUCAGAGGGGCUGUGGGUCCUCUCGGUAUUUCUGGUUUGUUCUUGUAGUCGAUCUGGGGCUAAAAUUCACAGUGCCAGCCUCAGCAUGCUGCUCUGUCGGAGUCAAAGCUACAGCCUAGUCCUGCCUCCCUUCUGCCAUGAGCUCCUCAUUUUCUCAGUAGAUGCAAUUUCGAACAGCA
rnacentral:lncRNA from 10 species